rnacentral:rRNA from 1 species
UACGAACCGUCCAAACGUUACUCGGAAUUACUGGCUUAAAGGGUGCGUAGGCCGCGCGGAGGGUGGGAUGUGAAAUCCCCCGGCUCAACCGGGGAAUAGCGUCCCAAACCGCCGUGCUCGAGGGAGACAGAGGUGAGCGGAACUGAUGGUGGAGCGGUGAAAUGCGUUGAUAUCAUCAGGAACACCAGUGGCGAAAGCGGCUCACUGGGUCUUUCCUAACGCUGAGGCACGAAAGCUAGGGGAGCGAACGGG